CACACCUCUCUAACGUUGUAAUCCGCAAUGGAAUCCUGAGCCAAUCUUCCGAAAAACUGCCUAUCGGUUUCUGUUAUUAAGGUUGAAUGGCAUUCAUCGAGAAACGAAGGGUAGAAAUCGAAAAGGCAUCGGAACUUGUAAAAAUCCACGUCAAAUCCCUUUAUUGAACAAAAGUAAAAACAACUUAGAAACUAUCAAAUCAAAUCAAAUCAGAGAUUCUGAGAAGGUAAUAGAGCGAGAGAGAGAGAGAGGGACCUGUGACUUCCUGAUCUGUUUGUUGAUGAGAUUGCGCUCCUCCUGAUCUGUGUACUUUGGACUCGUAUUGUCCUCUUUCCCUCGGAUCCUCUCCAACAGAAGUUUAUCCUCCUCGGUCACUUCUCCAAAGAUAGAGUAGUUGAAGCAUGCAACCACGCAUCUAGGAUUUAACGGAUCACUGAUGAUUUCGUAGUCUAUUCUACUCGAUGAAGCCAUGACGAACCCUAAUUCCGCCGUAACUAAAAUUGUUCCCGUUCUCCCUCAAAAACUAUUAUAGAUACUCCUUUUAUUUUGGUUCGCAUCUUACAUUUAAUAGCACUAAAGCCCCCCAAUGUUUUAGCUUUUUUUAGAUGUACCCCAUAACUAGUUUUUGAAAUUUAAUGAAAACCUCCCAACUACCCAUUGGUAAAGUUUGAACCCAUUAACUCUUUCUCUGGCCAACUUUGAACCCGUCAAGGCGUCAACUAAAAUUGGAAUUUUGUGGGAUUGGAUAACAACUAUGCAAAAUUUUCCGUAAUCUUAAUUAUCUUUUAUUUUACAUAGACUUAAAAAUUAAGAGUUUUCUCCUUGGUAAUUAUCAUUUAUUUAAUUGGUAUAUUUUUCACAACGUUUUGCAUUUCAUAAGAUUGUUUUUAAUUGUGUACGUUUAUCAUAAUUUAAUAUGAAAAAACUGUAUUUUUAGUAUGGUAUUUAGAGUCACUCUUUAUUUUAUUUAUACAACCUUCAAAUCUUUAACUCCAGCAUUGCUUUGAAAAAUAAGGUCUUCAUCAAUAUGAACAACAUUAUCAAACUAUCCUCAAAAAUACAAUUUGACAUGGACUCUCUAAGGCCUUAUUCUACUAAAGAAAACACACCAUUUGAACCACUGAAGAGACGAACCCUGAGUACUCUAAGUCUAAGGUAUACUCUUAUCAACGCUCGCAUUAGUACUAUCGACCCACUUAUUUUCUUCAAGCUUGGGCCACUCUUAAUUUUACCUAUGUGAAACCAUCUCGUGGAGUGGACACAUCAGUUGAAAUAGUGUUACAAAAAAGUUUUUUGAAAAAACACAUAAUGGUGGAUAAGUUUUUUAUAUUUUAGUAGUUGUCCUACAAAUAGGAAAUCAAUCCCUUAAUAUAUCUCCGACAUCCGCACGCUUGUUCGAUCUUGUAUUAUACCUUGGUUUCUUCACAACUCUCUUAGAAUCUUCAUCGCAUUCUACUGCCAAAAACGAAAAUGAAACAUCAAAACAUACUUCCGUUGCAAAGACACAGCACAAGUUUCCUCUCUGAAACUUUAUACGAUGUGUACAACAGACUUGAGAUAUGGUUAUAGUACCUUGUUGACCGGGUUUAAGCCUGCAGAAACUGUGCUCAAUCUCUCUACAGAAAACAUUGCAGACCUUAGCUUGAAAGACUUUGGUCUGGUGGCAAGGAUCCUUGGCUACAAACGUGAUGAAGUAAAUGUAACCUUUACUCCUGUAUAGAUUUGCUUUCUCAACCUCAAGAAAAUCAAAACUGGUCCCCUGUUUUUAUUUUUACCAAAAUCAAAUAUAAUAAAAUAAAAAUAAUAAAAAAUAGACAAAACUAGUAUUUGGUCUGAAAAAGGACACACCUCGUUAAUGUUAUAAUCCGCAAUGGAUUCCUGAGCCAAUCUUCCGAAAAAGAUCCUAUCGGUUUCUCUUAUUAAGGUUGAAUGGCUUUCAUCAAGAGAGGAAGGGUAGAAAUUGAAAAGGCAUCGGAACAUGGAAAAAUCCACGUCAAAGCCCUUUUUUAAAACAAAAGUAAAAACAACUUAGAAACUAUCAAAUCAAAUCAAAUCAGAGAUUCUGAGAGAGACCUGCGAGUUCCUUAUCUGUCCGUUGAUGAGAUCUCGCUCCUCCUGUGGUGUGUACUUUAGACUCGUAUCGCCCUCUUUCCCUCGGAUCCUCUCCAACAGAAGCUUCUCCUUCUCGUUAUCUUCCCAGAGAGGUAUAAAGCCUGCAAUCACACAUUGUGGAUUGAACGGAUCACUGAUGAUUUCGUAAUCUAUUCUACUCGAUGAAGCCAUGUCAAACCCUAAUUCCGACGUAACUAAUUGCUCCCCGUUCUCCUCAAAAUCUAUAUACUUUUUUUUGAAACUAAUUGAUCCCCGUUCUCAAAAUCUAUAUACUUCUUUUUUUUUUUAAUUUUGGUUUCGCAUUUUACAGUUAAUAGCACUAAAGCCCCCCCCCCCCCCCCCCCCCCCCCCCCAAAGUUUUAUAUUUAAGAGAUCGUACACCAUAAUUAGCUUUUGUAAUUAAUGAAAACUUCCGAACUAUCAUUUGGUUAACUUUGAACCCAUUAACUAAAAUUGUAGGCUCUAAACUAACAAUAGAAAUGAUUAUAGAAAGAAUGAAAGAAAACAAAAUCCUUACUAAUAAAAGGAACCUUUUGAGGAUCCGUAGAGCGUCCACAUCAGCAAAAAAAAUUUCUCCCGAAAGAUGACACGUGGCAUAAAAUAUAGUUUUACAUUUUAAUAUUACUAAUUUUUUGAAAAUUAUAAAUAAAAUGUAAACAAACAACAUAAAAAUGGAAAAACUACAUUAAACAUAAGUAAAAUUACCAUUUUUCACUUUAAAAAAAAGACGGCUUAUCUCCAUAAUAUAACAUUACCGUUUUAUAAAACAAAAACAAAAAACAUUAUAUAUAAUUUCGAAAAUAAUAAAUAUAUGUAAACAUAAAACAUAAAAAAUGGAAAUACUACAUUAAACAUAUGUAAGAUUACCAUUUUACAUUUUGAUUUAAAAAAAAAAAUAUGUAAACAUACAACAUAAAAAAUAGAAUUUAUUAGUCCUUUUGAGGCUCCAUAAAGCGUCCACAUCAGCAAAAAAAACUUCUCCCGAAAGAUGACACGUAGCAUAAAAUAUAGUUUUACAUUUUAAUAUUACUAAUUUUCGAAAAUUAUAAAUAAUAUGUAAACAUACAACAUAAAAAAUCCUUACUAAUAAAAGGAACCUUUUGAGGAUCCGUAGAGCGUCCACAUCAGCAAAAAAAAUUUCUCCCGAAAUAUGACACGUGGCAUAAAAUAUAGUUUUACAUUUUAAUAUUACUAAUUUUUUUGAAAAUUAUAAAUAAUAUGUAAACAAACAACAUAAAAAUGGAAAAACUACAUUAAACAUAAGUAAAAUUACCAUUUUUCACUUUAAAAAAAAGACGGCUUAUCUCCAUAAUAUAACAUUACCGUUUUAUAAAACAAAAACAAAAAACAUUAUAUAUAAUUUCGAAAAUAAUAAAUAUAUGUAAACAUAAAACAUAAAAAAUGGAAAUACUACAUUAAACAUAUGUAAGAUUACCAUUUUACAUUUUGAUUUAAAAAAAAUAAUAUGUAAACAUACAACAUAAAAAAUAGAAUUUAUUAGUCCUUUUGAGGCUCCAUAAAGCGUCCACAUCAGCAAAAAAAACUUCUCCCGAAAGAUGACACGUAGCAUAAAAUAUAGUUUUACAUUUUAAUAUUACUAAUUUUCGAAAAUUAUAAAUAAUAUGUAAACAUACAACAUAAAAAAUGGAAAAACUACAUUAAACAUAUGUAAGAUUACCAUUUUUCACUUAAAAAAAAAGAUGGCUUAUCUCCAUAAUGUAACAUUACCGUUUUAUAAAACAAAAACAAAAAACAUUAUAUAUAAUUUCGAAAAUAAUAAAUAUAUGUAAACAUAAAACAUAAAAAAUGGAAAUACUACAUUAAACAUAUGUAAGAUUACCAUUUUACAUUUUGAUUUAAAAAAAAUAAUAUGUAAACAUACAACAUAAAAAAUAGAAAAACUACAUUAAACAUAUGUAAGAUUACCAUUUUUCACUAAAAAAAAGACGGAUUAUCUCCAUAAUGUAACAUUACUAUUUUGUAAAAAAAAAUUAUCUAUAAUUUCGAAAAUAAUAAAUAAUAUGUAAACAUACAACAUAAAAAAUGGAAAUACUACAUUAAACAUAUGUAAGAUUAUCAUUUUACAUUUAAAAAUAACAAUAAUAUGUAAACAUACAACAUAAAAAAUGGAAAAACUACAUUAAACAUAUGUAAGAUUAUCGUUUUUCACUAAAAAACGGCUUAUCUCUAUAAUGUAACAUUACCAUUUUAUAAAAAAAAAAGAAAAAAACAUAAAUAUAACUAUCUGAUUAUUUGUCCAAGUUCUUCUAUUAAACAUUGCCGUUUUACAUUAAAAAUGAAAAAAUACUUUAAGAUUUAAACAUCUAUCUUAAAAUAUAAAAUAUCGAUAUUAACUAAAUAUAGAUAUUAACUAUAAUAUAGUUUGUCUUCACAAUACUUCCACAAAUACAUUUAGUUAAAUAAAAUAUAGAUAUUAACUAAAGUAUAAGAAAGAGAAAUACUCAAUAUAUAGAAAAAUAAAUAAUAAGUAAAUAUUAUAUAUAUAUAAAUAUACGAAUUAUAUAUACAAUAAUAAGUAAAUACACAAUUUUUAAAAAAUAGAAGGAGUACAUUAAAUAUCAAACAUCUAUCUUAAAAUGUAAAAUAUAGAUAUUAAGUAAAUAGAAAGUAUAAGAAAAAGAAACACACAACUUAGAAACAAUGGAAAAAGUAUAUUAAGAUUUAAACAUCUAUCUUAAAAUGUAAAAUAUAGAUAUUACGCAAAUAGAAAGUAUAAGAAAAGGAAAUACACAAUUUAAAAAAAUAGAAAAAAUACAUUAGUAUUUAAACAUCUAUCUUAAAAUGUAAAUCUAUCUUAAAUUAUAAAACUAUUAGUAAAUAGAAAGUAUAAGAAAUAGAAAUACACAAUAUAAAGAAAAAUAAAUAAUAAGUAAAUAUAUAAUAUAGGUAAAUACCCAAUUUAAAAAAUGGAAAAUUACAUUAUGAUUUGAAAAUAUAUCUUAAAAUUUAAAAUAUAGAUAUUAUGUAAAUAGAAAGUAUAACAAAUUGAAAUAUACAAUUUAAAAAAAAAAUGGAAAACGUACAUUAAGAUUUAAACAUCUAUCUUAAAAUGUAAAAUAGAGAUAUUAAGUAAAUAAAAAGUACAAGAAAUGGAAAUACAUAUACAGGAAAAUAAAUAAUAAGUAAAUAAUUUAAAUAUAUAAUAUAUGAAUUAUAUAUAUAAUAAUAAGUAAAUACACAAUUGUUUUUUAAAUGGAAAAAGUUCAUUAAGCAUGGAACAUCUAUCUUAAAAUGUAAAAUAUAUAAUAUAAGUAAAUACACAAUUUAAAAAAAAUGGAAAAAGUACAUUAAGAUUUAAAUAUCUAUUUUAAAAUAAAAAAUAUAGAUAUUACGUAAAUAAAAAAAUAAGAAAUGGAAAUAAACAUUAAAAAAAAUGGAAAAAGUACAUUAAGAUUUAAACAUCUAUUUUAAAAUGUACAUAUAUCUUAAAAUGGUAGUAAAUUAUAUAAAAAUAGAAAUACCACAUUAAACAAAAAAAAAUGUAUAGUUUUACUUCAAGAAAGUCCCUAUAAAACAUAUUAUUCCAUCAACAUCAACCUCACACUAUUAAGGAAAAUUUCAAAGCACUCGAGCAAAAAUUAUUCAUGGGAAUUGAAUUGCUUUUCAUAGACUCAAAGGUAUUCUUACAAAUUUAAAUUAAUCUAAUCCAUAAUUUUAUUGUUAUAUUCAUACUAACUCUUUCAUGAUCAAACUAUUACAGUUAAUAACUAUUCAAGCGUUUAUCCCGAAACACUUCAUUCCCCGCCGAAUCAGGUAUUGGUUCAUAUUGGUUUAGUAUUGUUUUUGGUUUACUAACCGGUUUAGGAUGGUCCUAUUGUAAAUAUAAUUUAAGUUGGUUUAGAAUAUAUUAUGCUUAAAAUAAUUUAAAUCAAAUAAUAGUUAUAUUAUGCUUAAAAUAUAAUUUUGGAGAGUUUUCAAAUAUAGUUUACAGAACAUUAUAGGUGAUGAAUUUAAUUUAUUAAAUUCAUUUAUUACUUAAAAAUAAGUUUUUUUUAAAACAUACUGAGUUAUAAAUAUAAAUGAUGGAUUGGUGAGUAUAACAUGAAGACAAAAAUAUAAAUAUUUGAUUUUCAAGAUAAGAAAUUCAGCUUUUAUUCAGUUACUUAAUACAUAAUAUCUUAAAUUUUUUUUAAAAAAUAUACAUAAUUUAUAUAUAUUGAUUAAUCUUCCAAACUUAAACUAUUAUAUUAUAUAUGAAUAAUAUUUUUAAAUAAAAAUAAUUUAUGAUUUAAAAAAAACAACAAAUGGUUAUUUUCAAAUAGUGGAUGUAAUUUACAUUAUACUAUCAUUUAACAAGUAUUAGAUACGUUUUGAUAUAUCAUUUUUUUCUAUUUCCAGAAAACAAUAAAUUGUUAAACAUCAAAGUCAUCUAGGUUAAGUAUACGAACAGCACAAAUUCAAACAUCACAAAAAAUAUUUACAUAAACAUUAUAAUACAAUAAUUUAAUCAAAAAAUACAAUUAAAAAAAAAAAUAUUCAAAAGAAUAGUUAUAUACUUAAUAUUUGAAAAUCAAAAAUAUUUUUGCUACAAUUGUACUUACCUGGCCAAGGAGAUCGACCAUCUUUUUACGGAUCGAUCGAUUGUUGAGCAUGUAGUCGAUCCGAAAAUACUCUGCAGUUUAAUUAAAUAUCUAAAAUAUUUAUUCCAACACUCAACAGAUAGUUUUGCUAAAUAUGAUAACUUGAUAGCCAACAAAAUUACAAAAGAAAAUAUUUAAAUAGUAAAAAAUAUGUUAAUUUAACGUGUUAAAAUUUAAAAAUAAAUUUUAGUCAUGACAUGCAUCUUAACAUUUAUAUAAAUAUAUAUCAUAACCUAAAUAUAAAUAAUAUAACAAUUUAAACUAGAAAAAAAAAAUAAAAAUCCCGGGCGUAGCCCGGGUUAAUCCCUAGUAAUAAGAAUGAAAAAGAACAUAUGUUAUCAAUUGUUUCUUAUCAAAUUUGAUAAGAAAUGUAUUAGUUCUAUAAUUUUUUUUUUACAAAAAAGGUUGAAUGGAAGGGAAUCAUAUGAAAAAAAUUCAAAUAAAUAGUGUAAUUUUAAGGAAAUUUAUUUUCAUUCAUUGACUUGAUCACCAUUUAAAAUCUGUAAUUUUGUUUUACCGAUUUUUAAAAAUAAAAUAAAAAAGCUUAGUUUGGUUCUUCUCCUCCUAAAUUAUCUUUUCAUUCACUUGGUCACCAUUUAGUUUGGUUUGUUAAAAAAAAUGUUUCUUCUCCUCCUAUGAUUCAUGGGAUUGGAUACCCACAAUUGAGGAUUGCAUUAUACUAAAUUAUCUUUUGUUCUACACAAUUAAGGUUUAAAAGUUUUCCCUUUUAUUUGUUUCAUGCUGUCAAAGCUACGUUUGUGUUCAGCGUCUAAAGUUGGUUGUAAGCUUGGUAUAUGUUCACAAGUAUAUUAUCUAUUAUGUACGUGGUCUUUUUAUAUGUCGACUCGAUGCUUUUCAUUGGAAGAAAACCAUAGAGAAUAUGUGGUCAGUUACAAAAAAAGUGGUGAUAUGAUAAACUUUUUUUUAUUAAUACCAUUUUAUCUACAAAAAGCUCAAACUGAAGAACGGCAUAUCCAAAACAGAGCAAGAAACAACAUAUUCAGUGUAAAACAAUAAUAGUAAACACAACUCAUGCGUAAUACAUAAAUUCAUUCGAUGUCCCCAAAUCCAUAUGAGUUGUGAUCUCUAAAUUGUAAUCAUCUUCAUUUUGUUCCUUUUCUUUAUGACAAUCAAUUUGCAUAUAUUCAUUUUCUAACCUUUUGACAAGUGAAAGUAUGGGUUAUUUUGCAAUUUAAAAACAUUUCAGUCAAAUGUGACUUAGAUUCAUUCAUAAGCUUGAAGACCCUUUCUUGUUUCAAACAGCAAAUUCGUGAAGAAAAAUUGAUCGUGAAAAAAAAACUCAUUUGCGCACCAGGGAACUGAUUUGGAUUUUGACCAGUUAACAUAUCAUAUGCUAAGCUUUUUUCGAUCCAAUUUACUUUUCUUAAAUUAAUCUAGCCAUGUAUAUUCCAGCUAGUAAAACAAAACUCAAAAUGAUUUUUUUUGGUUAAUCAGAAUAAAAUAAAAAUACAAAUUCGUAGAAAAGGCUCUUGCGCUCAGACGUUUGUUUGGAAGAAUUUGCUUAUUUAUCUAUUGGGCCCAUCAUUAUGAGCUCAAAUGCCGUUUGUUACGAUUAUCAACUGCUAAUAAUUGGCUGAGAUCCCUAUCAUUCGUAAUAUAAAAAUCUUUUGAGGUUUGGAUACAAAUAAGAAAGCAUAUUUGGAAAAAGAAGAUACCAGAAAGUGAGAAAAGGGACAUAAUUCCCAUCAAAUAGGACAAUAUCACCGACAAUGGUUGAUGCAUUAUCUAAGACACAUUGGUAAUGACACCCUUGUUCGAUCUUGUGUUAUACUUUGGUUUCUUCACAGCUCUCUUAGAAUCUUCAUCGCAUUCUCCUGCCAAAAACGAAAUAAAACAUUAAUACAUACUUCCCUUUAAAAGAUAAAACACAAGUUUCCUCUCCAAAACAAGUGAACAAUUAAUCAGACAGGCUGAAAAAACCUCCAUACAAUGUUUAUACCUUUCUGACAGGGUUUGAGCCUGCAGAAACUGUGCUCAAUCUCUCUACAGAAAACAUUGCAGACCUUAGCUUGAAAGACUUUGGUCUGGUCGCAAGGAUCCUUGGCUACAAAUGUGAUGAAGUAAAUGUACCCUUUAUUCCUGUACAGAUUUGCUUUCUCGACCUCAACAAAUUCAAAACUGGUCCCCUGUUUUUUAGAAAAGAAAAUAAAAACAAAUAUAAUAAAAUAAAUAAAAUAAGAAAUAGACAACUGAACUGAACUAGUUUUUUGGUCGGAAAAAGAACACACCUCUCUAAUGUUGUAAUCUGCAAUGGAUUCCUGAGCCAAUCUUCCGAAAAACUGUCUAUCGGUUUCUGUUAUUAAGGUUGAAUGGCAUUCAUCAAGAAACGAAGGGUAGAAAUCGAAAAGGCAUCGGAACUUGGAAAAAUCCACGUCAAAUCCCUUUAUUGAACAAAAGUAAAAACAACUUAGAAACUAUCAAAUCAAAUCAAAUCAGAGAUUCUGAGAAGGUAAUAGAGCGAGAGAGAGAGAGAGGGACCUG
rnacentral:lncRNA from 1 species